rnacentral:rRNA from 1 species
UACGGAGGGAGCUAGCGUUGUUCGGAAUUACUGGGCGUAAAGCGCACGUAGGCGGUUACUCAAGUCAGAGGUGAAAGCCCGGGGCUCAACCCCGGAACUGCCUUUGAAACUAGGUGACUGGAAUCUUGGAGAGGCGAGUGGAAUUCCGAGUGUAGAGGUGAAAUUCGUAGAUAUUCGGAAGAACACCAGUGGCGAAGGCGACUCGCUGGACAAGUAUUGACGCUGAGGUGCGAAAGCGUGGGGAGCAAACAGGAUUAGAUACCGUGUAGUCC